rnacentral:rRNA from 1 species
UGCCAGACUCCUACGGGAGGCAGCAGUGGGGGAUAUUGCACAAUGGGGGAAACCCUGAUGCAGCGACGCCGCGUGUGGGAAGACGGUCCUCUGGAUUGUAAACCACUGUCCCCAGGGACGAAAAUGACGGUACCUGAAGAAGAAGCCCCGGCUAACUACGUGCCAGCAGCCGCGGUAAUACGUAGGGGGCAAGCGUUAUCCGGAUUUACUGGGUGUAAAGGGGGCGCAGACGGCGAUGCAAGCCAGGAGUGAAAGCCCGGGGCCCAACCCCGGGACUGCUCUUGGGACUGCGUGGCUGGAGUGCAGGAGGGGCAGGCGGAAUUCCUGGUGUAGCGGUGAAAUGCGUAGAUAUCAGGAGGAACACCGGCGGCGAAGGCGGCCUGCUGGACCGUGACUGACGUUGAGGCUCGAGAGCGUGGGGAGCAAACAGGAUUAGAUACCCUUGUA